rnacentral:lncRNA from 1 species
AAAAAGGGAAAAAGAAAAAUAAAGAUUGCAUUGAUUGGGGAGGAGUAGGCAGGUGGAAGAGUAUUAAUUGAUUUGUUUCAGGUUGGUGUUGGUGGAUAUUAGAGAGAGAGAGAGAGAGAGAGAGAGAGUAUUCAUUGUAUUGUAAGGUUUUUUUUGUAACAGAUAUUUAACAUAUAAUCUGUAGCGAGUUAAUUACAUUAAGCUAUCUUAGUUUGUAUAAAUCUUUUUUUUUUUUUGAGAGAGAAUGGAAGUAUGCUAUCUUUUUUAUUUGUUUUCAAAAAUGAGGUUAGUUCGAAAUAUGAAGCAGCUACGCCUUAAAUUUGGGACGUCGAAUAUCAACUAUCAGGUCAUUUGUUAUUUGUGUUAAGGACGAUUAGUUAAUUUUGUAGAAAUCUUAUUCAAAGUAAUAUAAUAAUUGAGAAUUAGAAAAUGUCGACCAAAUUAUCCGUGUAUUUUUAUGCAGAUGAUAAUAUUUUCUCGAAUUU